rnacentral:rRNA from 1 species
CACGUAGGGGCCAAGCGUUGUCCGGAUUCAUUGGGCGUAAAGAGCUCGUAGGCGGUUCAGUCAGUCGGGUGUGAAAUCUCCCGGGCUCAACUCGGAGGGGCCACCCGAUACUGCUGUGACUCGAGUCCGGUAGGGGAGUGGGGAAUUCCUGGUGUGAGCGGUGGAAAUGCGCAGACUAUCAGGAGGAACACCGGUGGCGAAGGCGCCACUCUGGGCCGGUACUGACGCUGAGGAGCGAAAGCGUGGGGAGCAAACAGG